rnacentral:rRNA from 1 species
UAAGACGAACCGUGCGAACGUUGUUCGGAUUCACUGGGCUUAAAGGGCGCGUAGGCGGGCCGCCAAGUCUGUGGUGAAAGCCCCCGGCUUAACCGGGGAAGUGCCGCGGAUACUGACGGUCUCGAGGGGUGCAGGGGCAUGUGGAACUUCCGGUGGAGCGGUGAAAUGCGUAGAUAUCGGAAGGAACGCCGGUGGCGAAAGCGACGUGCUGGACACCUACUGACGCUGAGGCGCGAAAGCCAGGGGAGCAAACGGGAUUAGAUACCCCGGUAGUCCUGGCCCUAAACGAUGGGUACUAGGCUGUGGGCUUGACAUGGGCUCACAGCCGAAGCAAAAGUGUUAAGUACCCCGCCUGGGGAGUAUGGUCGCAAGGCUG